CCUACGGGUGGCAGCAGUGGGGAAUAUUGGACAAUGGGGGGAACCCUGAUCCAGCCAUGCCGCGUGUGUGAAGAAGGCCCUCGGGUUGUAAAGCACUUUCAGUGAGGAAGAACGCCUGGUGGUUAAUACCCAUCAGGAAAGACAUCACUCACAGAAGAAGCACCGGCUAACUCCGUGCCAGCAGCCGCGGUAAUACGGAGGGUGCGAGCGUUAAUCGGAAUUACUGGGCGUAAAGCGCGCGUAGGUGGCUUGAUAAGCCGGUUGUGAAAGCCCCGGGCUCAACCUGGGAACGGCAUCCGGAACUGUCAAGCUAGAGUGCAGGUGAGGAAGGUAGAAUUCCCGGUGUAGCGGUGAAAUGCGUAGAGAUCGGGAGGAAUACCAGUGGCGAAGGCGGCCUUCUGGACUGACACUGACACUGAGGUGCGAAAGCGUGGGUAGCAAACAGGAUUAGAUACCCGAGUAGUC
rnacentral:rRNA from 1 species